GGAUGAACGCUAGCGACAGGCUUAACGCAUGCAAGUCGAGGGGCAGCGUGGCGGUAGCAAUACUGCUGACGGCGACCGGCGCACUGGUGAGUAACACGUAUGCGACCUGCCCCAGUCAGGGGGAUAAUCGUGAGAAAUCGCGUCUAAUACCCCAUAGUUGCGUCCGCUGCAUGGCGGAUGUAGGAAAGAUUCAUCGGACUGGGAUGGGCAUGCGGCGCAUUAGCUAGUUGGCGGGGCAACGGCCCACCAAGGCGACGAUGCGUAGGGGUUCUGAGAGGAAGGUCCCCCACAUUGGUACUGAGACACGGACCAAACUCCUACGGGAGGCAGCAGUGAGGAAUAUUGGUCAAUGGACGAGAGUCUGAACCAGCCAAGUCGCGUGAAGGAAGAAGGUCCUACGGAUUGUAAACUUCUUUUGUCCGAGAGCAACGUGCGCCACGUGUGGCGCAGUGAGAGUAUCGGAAGAAAAAGCAUCGGCUAACUCCGUGCCAGCAGCCGCGGUAAUACGGAGGAUGCGAGCGUUAUCCGGAUUUAUUGGGUUUAAAGGGUGCGUAGGCGGCGCUUUAAGUCAGCGGUAAAAAUGCGGUGCUCAACGCCGUAGAGCCGUUGAAACUGGAGUGCUUGUGUUCGAGCGAGGCAUGCGGAAUGCGCGGUGUAGCGGUGAAAUGCAUAGAUAUUGCGCAGAACUCCGAUUGCGAAGGCAGCGUGCCAGCUCGCGACAGACGCUGAGGCACGAAAGCGUGGGUAUCGAACAGGGUUAGAUACCCUGGUAGUCCACGCAGUAAACGAUGAAUACUAGCUAUCCGGGUCGAUUGGGACCUGGGUGGCACAGCGAAAGCGUUAAGUAUUCCACCUGGGGAGUACGCCGGCAACGGUGAAACUCAAAGGAAUUGACGGGGGCCCGCACAAGCGGAGGAACAUGUGGUUUAAUUCGAUGAUACGCGAGGAACCUUACCCGGGCUCAAACGGCAGUCGAACAAUGCGGAAACGUGUUGGCCAGCAAUGGCGGCUGCCGAGGUGCUGCAUGGUUGUCGUCAGCUCGUGCCGUGAGGUGUCGGCUUAAGUGCCAUAACGAGCGCAACCCCCAUUUUCAGUUGCUAACGAGUUAAGUCGAGCACUCUGGAGAGACUGCCGGCGCAAGCUGUGAGGAAGGCGGGGAUGACGUCAAAUCAGCACGGCCCUUACGUCCGGGGCGACACACGUGUUACAAUGGUGGGGCACAGAAGGAAGUGCGGCGGCGACGCCAAACGGAUCCCGAAAACCCAUCUCAGUUCGGAUUGGAGUCUGCAACCCGACUCCAUGAAGCUGGAUUCGCUAGUAAUCGCGCAUCAGCCAUGGCGCGGUGAAUACGUUCCCGGGCCUUGUACACACC
rnacentral:rRNA from 1 species